AAUACGGGGGGGGCAAGCGUUGUUCGGAAUUACUGGGCGUAAAGGGCUCGUAGGCGGCCAACUAAGUCGGACGUGAAAUCCCCAGGCUCAACCUGGGAACUGCGUCCGAUACUGGAUGGCUUGAAUUCGGGAGAGGGAUGCAGAAUUCCAGGUGUAGCGGUGAAAUGCGUAGAUAUCUGGAGGAAUACCGGUGGCGAAGGCGGCAUCCUGGACCGAGAUUGACGCUGAGGAGCGAAAGCCAGGGGAGCAAACG
rnacentral:rRNA from 1 species